rnacentral:lncRNA from 1 species
AUCUAUAUUAAAGAUGCUUCAAAUUAUUCUACCUUGGCUGGCUAGAAACUCAUGAGUGUGGGAAGAUCAAACAUUGUUGGUCAAGAGCCAAAAUUAUCUUGGGCUAUCUCAGACCUUUUAAAAGCCAUUUACCUGGCAGAGGAGGCUUCCAGGCCAUUGUAACACCGCUCCCGGUGCAGAGGAGGCUUCCAGGCUGCCGUACCACUGCUCCCAGCACAGAGGAGGCUUCCAGGCCACCAGACCACCACUCCCAGCACAGCAGGUCCUGGAUUGAUUUCUCGUGGUCCCUUACAAACCUCUUCUGCAGCCCAUGGGCCAGCAAAUGAUGUGCAACUUCAAGAACCUGUACACAAAGGGACCCUCGGCCAAAUGUUU